GGAAGUGAACCAUCUCAGUACCCAGAGGAAGAGAAAACAACCGUGAUUCCGAAAGUAGUGGCGAGCGAAAUCGGAAUAGCCCAAACCGGGUGAUUCGAAAGGAGAGCCCGGUGUUGUAGGACCACAAUCAUCAGGCAGCUCGAGCCGGAGACGGUUCGGCGGCCUGUUGUAACGAGGGAUAGGAAAGUGUUAAUCGAACGGUCUGGAAAGGCCGGCCAUAGAGGGUGACAGCCCCGUAGGUGAAAAUGCAAUCCUCCUUCUAGUGGUUCCUGAGUACCGCGGGACACGUGGAACCCUGCGGGAAUCUGCCGGGACCAUCCGGCAAGGCUAAAUACUCACUUGCGACCNAUAGUGAACAAGUACCGUGAGGGAAAGGUGAAAAGAACCCCUGCGAGGGGAGUGAAAUAGUACCUGAAACCACACGCUUACAAGCAGUUGGAGGGCUAUACCCGCAAGGGGAUGCCUGACAUCGUGCCUAUUGCAUAAUGAGCUGGCUAGUUAUUCUCAGUGGCGAGGUUAAGCGAAAGCGAGCCGUAGCGAAAGCGAGUCUGAACAGGGCGAUUCAGUCGCUGGGAAUAGACGCGAAGCGGGAUGAUCUACCCUUGGCCAGGAUGAAGUCGGUGUAACAGCCGAUGGAGGUCCGAACCAGUGUUGGUUGAAAACAGCUUGGAUGAGCUGAGGGUAGGGGUGAAAGGCUAAUCAAAUUCCGUGAUAGCUCGUUCUCUCCGAAAUAGCUUUAGGGCUAGCCUCGCGUGGUCCGUCGCGGUGGUAGAGAUCUGGAUGAACUAGGGGCCUUCCCAGGUUACCGAAUUCAACCAAACUUCGAAUGCCGUGAAUGCGUAACGCGGGAGUCAGACAGUGGGGGCUAAGCUUCAUUGUCGAAAGGGAAACAGCCCAGACCACCAACUAAGGCCCCUAAGUCCAUGCUAAGUGGGAAAGGAAGUCGAGAGGCUCAGACAGCCAGGAGGUUGGCUUAGAAGCAGCCAUCCUUUAAAGAAAGCGUAACAGCUCACUGGUCGAGCCGCUCGGUGCCGACAAUAUAACGGGGCUCAAGCAUGGUGCCGAAGUUGUGGAUUUGCGCAUUUCCUUCNGGAUUUCGCGGGUGGUAGGAGAGCGUUCCCAUUUGCUGCAAAGGCUGACCGGCUGGACGNNUGGACGAUGGUGAAGUGACUCUGCCAGCAUAAGUAGCGAAAAACCAGGCGUGAACCCUGGUCGCCGUAAGUCUAAGGAUUCCUGAGAAAGGUUAAUCCGCUCAGGGUUAGUCGGAGCCUAAGGUGAGGCCGAAAGGCGUAGCCGAUGGACACGCGGUUAAUAUUCCGUGACUACCUGAAUUCGAUAAAGACCGAUGGGGGGACGCAGACCGUAAGCCAUCCCACACAAUGGUUUCAAAAGAUGGUUAAGGGAGAUCCGGAUUGGCAAAUCCGCCGGGUCGUCUGCCAGGAAAAGCCUCUAAGGAGAGUUUAGGUAUCCGUACCACAAACCGACACAGGUGGACGAGAUGAGUAUUCUAAGGCGCUCGGGUGAUGGUUUGUUCAGGAACUAGGCACAUUAGCUCUGUAACUUCGGGAGAAGGAGUGCCUCCAGCAAUGGGGGCCGCAGUGAAUAGUCUCAGGCGACUGUUUAACAAAAACACAGGUCUCUGCUAAGUCGAAAACGACGUAUAGGGGCUGACGCCUGCCCGGUGCCGGAAGGUUAAAGGGAGAGGUUAGCCGCAAGGCGAAGCUUUGAACUGAAGCCCCGGUGAACGGCGGCCGUAACUAUAACGGUCCUAAGGUAGCGAAAUUCCUUGUC
rnacentral:rRNA from 1 species